rnacentral:rRNA from 1 species
UACGAAGGGGGCUAGCGUUGCUCGGAAUCACUGGGCGUAAAGCGCACGUAGGCGGAUUGCUAAGUCAGGGGUGAAAUCCUGGAGCUCAACUCCAGAACUGCCUUUGAUACUGGCGAUCUCGAGUCCGGGAGAGGUGAGUGGAACUGCGAGUGUAGAGGUGAAAAUUCGUAGAUAUUCGCAAGAACACCAGUGGCGAAGGCGGCUCACUGGCCCGGUACUGACGCUGAGGCGCGAAAAGCGUGGGGAGCAAACAGG